UACGUAGGGGACUAGCGUUGUCCGGAAUCAUUGGGCGUAAAGCGCGUGUAGGCGGCCCGGUAAGUCCGCUGUGAAAGUCGGGGGCUCAACCCUCGGAAGCCGGCGGAUACUGGCGGGCUAGAGACCGGUAGAGGCGAGUGGAAUUCCUGGUGUAGCGGUGGAAUGCGUAGAUAUCAGGAAGAACACCGGUGGCGAAGGCGGCUCGCUGGGCCGGUUCUGACGCUCAGCCGCGAAAGCGUGGGGAGCAAACAGG
rnacentral:rRNA from 1 species